rnacentral:rRNA from 1 species
UACGGAGGGUGCUAGCGUUGUUCGGAAUUACUGGGCGUAAAGCGCGUGUAGGCGGCCGAUUAAGUCUGGUGUGAAAGCCCGGGGCUCACCCCCGGAAGUGCGCUGGAAACUGGUCGGCUAGAGUAUGGGAGAGGAAAGUGGAAUUCCCGGUGUAGCGGUGAAAUGCGUAGAUAUCGGGAGGAAUACCAGUGGCGAAGGCGGCUUCUUGGCCUGUUCUUGACGCUGAGGCGCGAAAGCUGGGGGAGCAAACGGG